rnacentral:rRNA from 1 species
GGUUGAUCCUGCCAGUGGUUGUACAUUCGGGAAUGAGAUUAAGCCAUGCAUGUGUGAGUUGACUGUUGUAGACUGCGGAUAGCUCAAUAUAAUGACUAGAAUCUUUGUAACAUAAGUCAAAGGAAUAUAGGUGGAAACUCUGCCGGUAAUCCUCAAAUUAUCAGCCAAAUUCAAAGAAUUUGUAAUUAUGGAAUGAAAGUUUAUCAAACUGUUGCGCUACGGGUCAUCCUAUCAGUUGACACAAUAGGGUAGUGUCCUAAUGUGGCUAUCACGGGUGACGGGGAAUGAGGGUU